rnacentral:tRNA from 1 species
AUGGCUGUGGGAGCUCAGUGGUAGAGUGCGUGCUUUGUGUGUAUAAUGUUCUGGGUUCAAUCCCCAGCUUCUCUC